UACGAAGGGGGCGAGCGUUGUUCGGAAUUACUGGGCGUAAAGGGCGCGCAGGCGGCCCUUGAAGUCAGGCGUGAAAGCCCCGGGCUCAACCUGGGAGGUGCGCUUGAUACUCGAGGGCUUGAGUGCGGGAGAGGAGAGUGGAAUUCCCAGUGUAGAGGUGAAAUUCGUAGAUAUCGGGAAGAACACCAGUGGCGAAAGCGGCUCUCUGGGGACCACCUGACGCUGAGGCGCGAAAGCGUGGGGAGCGAACCGG
rnacentral:rRNA from 1 species